rnacentral:rRNA from 1 species
UAAGCUGAGGAAAAGAAACCAACCGGGAUUGCCUCAGUAACGGCGAGUGAAGCGGCAAGAGCUCAAAUUUGAAAUCUGGCCCCUCCGGGGUCCGAGUUGUAAUUUGCAGAGGAUGCUUCGGGUGCGGCCCCUGUCUAAGUGCCCUGGAACGGGCCGUCAGAGAGGGUGAGAAUCCCGUCUUGGGCAGGGUGCCCGUGCCCGUGUGAAGCUCCUUCGACGAGUCGAGUUGUUUGGGAAUGCAGCUCUAAAUGGGUGGUAAAUUUCAUCUAAAGCUAAAUACCGGCCGGAGACCGAUAGCGCACAAGUAGAGUGAUCGAAAGAUGAAAAGCACUUUGAAAAGAGAGUUAAACAGCACGUGAAAUUGUUGAAAGGGAAGCGCUUGCGACCAGACUCGGCCCCGGGGUUCAGCCAGCACUCGUGCUGGUGUACUUCCCCGGGGGCGGGCCAGCGUCGGUUUGGGCGGCCGGUCAAAGGCCCCAGGAAUGUGUCGCCCUCCGGGGCGUCUUAUAGCCUGGGGUGCAAUGCGGCCAGCCCGGACCGAGGAACGCGCUUCGGCACGGACGCUGGCGUAAUGGUCGCAAACGACCCGUCUUGA